rnacentral:tRNA from 1 species
GAGGACUUAGCUUAAUUAAAGUGGCUGAUUUGCGUUCAGUUGAUGUAAGAUGAAAUCUUGCAGUCUUUA